UUUGAGACAGAUAAUUAACUGUCUUAAAUGAAAGAAAUUUUCGUUCAAAAUCCAAACCCUAAUUCCCUUCCCGCUCAAUUCUCUCAAAAAUCUCAAUUUCGUAUCAAUAUACUCUCUCUCUCUCUCUCUCCCUGCAAACCCUCAUCUCUCUGAACUCCCACCUUGCUCGCAUCCACGGUCACACCCUAAUGUUGUUGUUCCUCUUCUCCAUGUGUUGUUCCUCUUCUUCCAAAUUUCUCUUGCUGGUGAAAAUUUCUGUUGCUACAUUAGUUUCCCCAAUGACUUGAUUGAAACUUAUCCCCUUGCGCCUAAAAUUUUGGUUUUCCCGCGAUAUACUCCCGCGAUAUCCUUCUUCUUCUUCUUCUUCUUCUUAGCUACAUCAUCCUCUAAUUAGUUGUGGCUCCAAAGAAAUGAAAUGGUGUUAUUUUUCCCUCUCUCCCAUCAUCUCCCUGGGUAUCUAGGUCUGGAACUAUUUCUUGGUCCUCUGGUCCCCAAUAGCUUAAACCCCAAAUACUAGUACAUUAUUUUCCUCUCUCACUUCAAUUUCUUCUGAUUUUUGGUUAUUUGGUUCAUGACUUACAAUUAAAUCAUCACACAAGAGGAAUCCGUGGUGAAGGUGGAAGGAAUUUCAUCACUGCUCACUCAGAAGAUUGGGGUUUCACACCAGCAGAGAACAGACAGCAAGGAGCUCUUAUUGAUCUCUUGAGGCCGUCUUAAGAUGGGCAGACAUCAAUCUCAUUGGAGUCGAGGAACCGAGUAUAUUCCUAGAGGGGAAUUUAGAGGCAUAGCAAGCUAAAUAACUUGACUUGACCACGCCUUUUUCAGAGACAGAUGUCCUAAACAAAUUUUGACUGUGCGGCAGAUGUGGCUGGCCUGAAGCACCUUAAGAUGUAUGAUGUGUGUCGAGGUCUAUGCACAGUGCUUCAAGUCAUCGGAUGUGCUCUUUCAUCCCUGCCGUGCUUUAGAGGAGUCGGAUCUUGAACAAACAUGCUCGGCAAUGGAUAAUAGAUUUUAAUAUUUUUGAGCUAAAUAUUUGUGUUAAUUUAUAGUGAAUUCGAAAAGGCUUGCAUGCUACUGGAAUGCUGAGUCAAUAUUACUUUCUCUCCCUCUCCUCCUUUGAAAAUGACCCCAUGCCCGUCGCAUUCUAACACUCCCGAUUGAUUAAUGUUCUAAUUCCAAGAAAGAUAUGACAUGUCUAUCUUUCUCCC